UACGGAGGGGUUAGCGUUGUUCGGAAUGACUGGGCGUAAAGCGCGCGUAGGCGGAUCAGGAAGUUGGGGGUGAAAUCCCGGGGCUCAACCCCGGAAUGGCCUUCAAAACUCCUGGUCUUGAGUUCGAGAGAGGUGAGUGGAAUUCCGAGUGUAGAGGUGAAAUUCGUAGAUAUUCGGAGGAACACCAGUGGCGAAGGCGGCUCGCUGG
rnacentral:rRNA from 1 species